rnacentral:lncRNA from 1 species
ACGAACGAUAAUAAAUAAUAAAAUUUAUAUACAUAUAAUAUGAUAUACAGUUAUUAUGUAAUGUCUCAAUACGAACAUUGCGAUUUGUUUUUGUUAGUAGCAAUUUUGAGAAAAUCAAAUUUAUCGUGAAAUGUAUCUGAAACUCUCUAUUUGUGUUGUAAAUUGAAAGUUAAAUAUACUUUAGCACGCAAUUUCAUUGGCUUCUGAGAACGGCUAUAAAAAUUUUAGUCGUAUAUCGUGCCGUCAUAUAACUGCAUUCGACACGCAAAGAAUUGCAUCGCAAGAAAUGAAAUCAGCUUUGCCUGCCCGCAACUAGUCGUUAAAUAUUUUUAUGUUGUUCUUUAUAUCGUGCGCUUAAUCGUUUUAUAGCCGUUUAUUCAGAGGAACAUUGCCGUUAGUAACGACUGUUUACCUUAUUUCUCGUGUGGAGUUACAAUAUUAUUUUUUGUAAUUAUUGGAUAUUUGUUAUCUAUUAAUAUUGUACUUCAACUUUUCAUACGAUCGAUAGCCCGAAUAUUUAUUCACAAAAAUAGCUUGGAGUACAUUUGCAGAGAAGAAAAUUGGUUCCUCGAGGUUAUUAAUAUUUUUAUUGUGAUCAUUAUUUUUAGCAGUAAAGCGCAAUUUAUUCGUUGAGUAGCUAUAAAUGGAAUUCUCACACGAUUGAAUCAUCAACGAUACUGUCUUUAUAGGACCCAGAUUGUGGUUCCACUACGACCGCUUUAUCUGCAUAUUAAUCCCGAAAAGGAAGCAUAAUUAUACUCGGCGAAACUAUUACUACGAUUCGUGCUUGCUUCGAAGUUUCGAGCCGUCGAGGACGAAAGUCUAACUGUACUCCACCACCCUCUUCCCUCUACGCCUCUUGUACAUAAUAUAUGCAUUUGUGUGUAUGUGCGAAUGCGCGUGCACUUAUAUAAGCGAGUACGGAGCUUCCAGGAUCCCCCGCUGACAAAUUGUUACCGCGACGGUGCUUGUGGUUUCGGGAUAACGAAAUACAUAAUUCAGAUGCGUCCGUACCUCGUGGUAAGUCGACUCGGCUAUUGUUGAAAUGUCCAGCGCAGCUAUUAGGAUUUUGCAUCAAGAAUGUCGGAAAUGAUUCUUAGUAAAUCCUCAUUAGGGGACGGCUUAUCUGAAUAAUAAUUUUUGAUUGGGUAACUUUGAUAGAAUUUAACAAAAACUUUUUACUUUUUUUUAAUCGUACAAUUUGCAAUGGAGAAGGAACGUAAAUUGCUAGCCGCCAAGUGCCACAUUAAAAUUUUUCCGAGAGGAAAAGGGGGGAAAAGAGGAAUUCCGAAAAAAUUGGCGCGGAACUUAAAUGAGCCGAAUUGGGGAAACACGAGGAAUCAGCUGACGGGAUUCCUAGUAAAAUAGACGUAGAAGAAUAUCACGCUUCCCGCGAUUCACGCGGGAGAAAUUUCUUUUUGCUCCAGCAGCCAUUCCUGUAACGUCGGUUCGCAAAUUAUUUCUCGGCGAUGGGCCCUUCCCCCGAAUGUAGCACGUGUGACGAAAAUGCUUGGAGCGUUCGCGGAAAGACGUGGGACGAGCUGGAAUGUUUCCGAGGCUACCUCACCCAUGGAAUUUUCGGAGGCUUUCCAGAGGACACGUUCGAGCUUACUCGCUUUAUCCCUUCAUCCUGACUCGCUAAAUUAUUCAAUUCAUUUCUGUGGAGCUUUCAACUAACUCGAAUACCGUCUAUCUCGCCUCUCUCUCUCUCUCUCUCUCAUUCUUUCCCUGUCUCUCCCUCCAAUUCAACUCUUGGAGUUGAGAGUCUCACCUUUUGUCGUAGAUUUAGCUGGCGCAAUGGGACGUCCACCGGAAAGUUUCUAUUUAUACGCAAAAUGAAUUAUAAGAAAUGCAUGAUAGAUUUGAUAAACUAACACUCGGUACUCUGGAUAAAUUAUUUACUUAACUUCGCAACUGCGGAUAAUUCUAGCACUAUGCUGAAGACUUCAUUUUCCUUAUACUUUUAUGAUUAAGUAGACAAUAUUUAUGUUAAGAAGGAAGAGAGUUUCAUUAAUAAUAAAAUCUGUAUAUAUUUAAAAAACAAGUUUUAAUGAACUUUCUAAAAAGUGAACAAAAUAUAUAAUAUUGAAGUACAUUUAUCCAUCAAUUAUAUGCACAUUUUCAAGAACGACAAAGAUAUUUAAUUGUUUUUAUGUUAUUGGCUUAGAGAUAAAUGUUCAUUGGUAAAAAUAGUGCCACGUAAUGAGAUAAAACAAAUAAUGUUAAUAGUAAAAAGAUAAUUUGUGGUUAGAUAAAUCAGUUUUUCUUUUUAUACUUAGUUCGCGUAAGCGUACGAAAUAGAUUUUGAUUUACGCAGAAAGUCGCGUAAGCAAUUACGACAUUUGCCGAAUGGUUCGUCAGUGUGCAUUCUCUUAAAAUUACUGUCACUUUGGUUGCAAUAAAUAUCUUAAUUUGACGCAAUACAGGCACAUUCAGCCUGCGCACUUCGUUCGUUAUCGUUAUGUAAGAAACGAAUUCGCGACAGACGGAGAAUUCAGCGAAACGAGGUUAAAACUCGGAACGAAAUGUCGUGCAAAUUUGUUCCUAAGGGGCGGCUCCCCGUUGAUGAAAAGAGCACCUCGAAAGCUCCGGGUGCCAAGUCUGGAAUGUUUGAUACUCUGAACCGAGUAACGAGUACUUUUGUGAUAUCUAUAUGUCUCUUUUUAUGUUGUCAUUUCGGAGUUUCUUGACAGCAAAUUUUAUUAGCAUAUGUAAGCACGCUUCCAAGAAUUAUUUCACUCUCACAAGAGGAGGAUUGAGGCAUGUAUCUCGUGAAUUUUUGGAAAGUUCGAUAUCGAGAAUUUGAUUAUUGUAAAAGCACAAUGGAAAAUCUAGGUGUCAAUGGGUCAAUGAACUGAAAUUACAAGAUUUAUGGAAUGACUGACGAUUUGACCGAGAUAUUUAUUUGGAUCUUUUCUUAAUGGAGUCGGAAAAGAGCAAAUCCGCUUUUUUUUAACUUUUUAUAUAAUGGUACACCGUCAUAUUUUACAUUGUUGAACCGCGUACCUCGAGACUUGCGCGGGAAUACGAGAAUUUCCGGGCCAUUCGUGCAGGUGUAUUGGAGUGAUUCUCUAGGGAAGAGAUUAUCUCGAAAAUUGGUUGUAACAUAACUCGAUUAUAUUAAUUGCAUGUGAAAAAAUUUAAUUCCGUUACAUGAGAAAUACUUGUCUAAUAUUACAAUUAAUCUGAUAUUACGAUUAAUCGAUUUCUAUUCUUUUAACAUUAUAAUAUUGCGUAACUUGAAAAGUAUAAUUAUUACAAUCUGUACUGCAAAUACAACAAUAGAAAUUAUCUGUUUAUUGUUAUAAUAUGAUUCUUAAAACUGCAGACGCGCGGCUGACCGUAGUCUCCAAUUAACGUAUUGGUUCGGCAUCGUUAAAAAUUGUAAUAUAAGGCUGCACUACAAGAAUCGUUUCAUUUCAUUCCUCUUGUUAUAUUUUCUUUUACGAUCUCUCUAUUAAUUUGAAGUGAUCCGUCCGUCUCUGAUCGUUAUUGAGGUCUCUUACAUGCUCCUUGGGGGCUAUUAUGCGCGUAGGGGUGGCCUAAGUUCGAGGAUUUGCACGUAAUAAAAGCUCUGUCGCUUUCUGCUCGUAAUAUGUUCCGGCACCUUAAGUUGAUUAAGCGUCAGACACACAGGCCGGUGUGCGCCGGCAGGACCGUUGCUAAAUGUCUCACAUCUGUCACCGGGCUUUAACACCACCGAACCAACUGUCCUACACGCACCAACAUACGUACGUAAGCGUGGGUUUGUCGGAUGGGAGAAGCAGAGAAAAACAUACCGUCGGUCGUAUAGUCGGGAACGAAGAGCGCCACUCCUUCGCUACAUUCAUGGCCAUUCUUUCUAGAGCCCUGGUCCAACCUACUCGCUCAGUCGGAGGUCGGUAUCCAAGAAAAUUUUCACCUAUCAACUCGGUAGAUACUUCGGUAAGAUAAUACGCUUGCGACCGAAUGGGAGAAAAGGAUUAUCAUGUUUUAGGAAAAUUACAUUCGUCGAUUAAAAGUAAAUUACCCCUCAAAACGGUUUUACCAUGUUGCCCUUUUGGGGAGCAAUUAAGAAAUAAUGUACGACAGAUCUUUUUGCAAGGCUAAAUGGUCGCAUCGGUGAAAGUUUUCUUUUUGCCCGUGCAAAUUGUUAAAUGCGGGUUGUAUAAAGCAGCUUUAAAAAAUUAAGUUAAACUUACAUACAAGAAUUAACAAGAAUAUUUUUUAAUGUAACUGUAAGGAAGUGUAAUAUAAUACGGAGAUCCCGACGGAAUACGUCAUUAAGAAAUGAAUAGUGAAUUUCUUUUUGCUGAAAACUUUUACUUCGUAUUAUUCCAGAAGCGUGACAAAUGAACGCUGUUCCAUUUAAUUUUCUUAUUAGUCAACCGCCAAAAAAAUUCUUCUAAUUUUGAUGCUUUUAUUUAAGUUUAAUAUUUCUGUUGGAAGAGAAAAUAUGAGCACGGCGACAGAUGUAUCACGCAAUUGGUGAAAUCGCGAAUUAUAUGGCCGAAAUAUAUCGUGCCAAAUGUUACAUGUUGGCACACAUGUGUAAGCAUUAAACCAAUAGAAUCUGCUUACUACAUAUGCUAUCGUCUUUUUUCUAACAUUAUUGCUUAUGAUCUAAAUGUUUAAAAUUCAUAAAUUUUUGUCAGCCGUUUUAUCUAUCGACCAAUAAAACUGAUUAAAGAAAUCCAGUUAGAAACGAUAAAUAUACAAUGCUUUAAGACAAUUUAAUGUACAAUCUACUUCAAUAAUUCUGUUUUUAAAUACUAAAUUUUGGUAUUAAGUCAUCAAAAAAUUGUAUAAAAAGUAAUUAAAUGCAUUGCGUCAACACGUAACAUUUGUCUCGGUUUGUAUCACUGGAAAAUAAUUGAUGAUUGUAAUCCUUUUAGCCACGAUGAAAAUGCACAUAAAUAAAAGCACUUCUCAACACGCCAUCGGUGUGUAUCAUGAUGAAAUCAAAAUGCUGUCUCUCCAAGGCUUCUUUUUCUCGCUCGAGAUUGGAUCGCUGGCUGUUAGAUGCAGUUCUUUUGUGAAAUUCCGCUUCUCUUUUUUGCGCAGACAGAGUUUGCUUGUGUUUGGCAUGUACUUAUCACGAUAACAUUUCGCCUGAUCAAGAAGAAAUAGAAGUAUAAGAGAAAAGAAAGUUUUUCUCACGUUGGGACGAUUUCCAACUUCGUGAAUAUUUGUCGCUAUAGCAGAAUCGUCAGAGAUAAAAUUCCUGCAGCAAUUUCUGAAAAGUGAAUAUUCAGUAUUUAUUAUCUUUCAUGUUUCUAGGUUACGAUUUUUCCUUCUGUAUAAAUUUAAGUUAAACGAGAGGUGUGUGGUGGGAAAUGAGAGAGAGAGAGAAACAGAAGAGAGAAAGAGAAUUCUAGGACAAUUCUGCAUGAGGAUUAAUAGUCUGAUUCGGCUCUAAUUCCAAAAGUUAGGACAAGUUAGACGUAAAAUAUUUGCAUCCUGGGAUCAAUACUUUACAUACUUAGAAGAUAUGUGAGCUAUUCGAGUCGUUUGUUUUUGCGUCAGGAAAAUUUGGAUAGUUUGCGCUUCAUCAGCUUCUCUGCAUUUACAGCGUCAUUACUCUUCUCUACUGUGACGAUCACUUUUUUAGUAGGAAAUAACUUUCGGGCUAGGCUAUAUGACUCUCCCUAAGGGAUUAGUCAUUCUCGUUUUUAUGAUUUUCACAAUGUUCUAAAACCACGCAACUAUUUGGUUGAAAAAUCGCAUAUUCAAAA